GGACCGAGAAGUUACCCGUGUGUUAGACAUAAAGGUAUGCGCAAUCUAUUUUCACUCCAACGAAGAUACCACUUUAACCAUACUAGGAUAACCAUGGCGGAAAGGCAAGCUGGUUGCCAAUUGAUGAGAGUCAUCCGUCUCUCCGGUUGUCAGACCAGCUUGACUAAACGUCGGAACCUGCGCUACACCACUCUUCAACCCCAGUGGCAGUGCGUAGUACCAGGGUCCCUUGUUUUUACACAUAGGACGCUGGCACGCACAUCGCAGCAAC
rnacentral:sRNA from 1 species